AUUAUGUCUGCCAUUGUCCUGGGUUCAGCUGGGAUAGAGUUAAUUUUCACAGGAACCUGGGAGGGGGGGGCACAGCCGGGACAGCUGACCUGAACUAGCCAAGGAGCUAUUCCAUACCAUGUGACAUCAUGCUCAGUAUAUAAAUGGGGAGCAGGCUGGGGGGGGCUUUUGGCGGGGGAAGUGGCGGAGCAUCGGGUUCCAGGUGGUGAGCAGUUGCACUGUGCAUCACUCGUUUUGUAUAUUCUUUUAUCAGUACCCUUGUUGUUGUAACUUCCUUUUUUGCGUUGUCCCAGUAAAUUGUCCUUAUCUCAACCCACGAGGUUCCGUUUUUUUUUUUUCUUUAUCCUUUCUGAUUCUCCUCCCCAUCCCACCGGAGGGGGGCGGGAGGAGUGAGCAAGUGGCUGCGUGGUCCUUUGUUACUGGCUGGGCUGAAACCACGACAGCCAUACACUGCCAAGUUCAGUGAGAAUGCAGCAAGGCAAAUGAACACAUGGAGGUGAACGGUGGAGCAGAUGCCCCGGAAGAUGGCCAUGACUCCAUGGGAAAGCCCGUGCUGGAGCAGUUUUUUGACUGAAGAUCGGCCCACGGAAAGGACCCACGCCAGGGAAGUUCAGGAAGAACUGAAGCCCGCGGAAAGGACCCACACCAGGUAAGUUUGUGAGGAACUGCAGCCCGCGGAAAGGACUCACGUUGGAGAAGUUCAUGAAGGACUGUCUCCUGUGGGAGGGACCCCACGGUGGAGCAGGGGAAGACUGAGGAGUCCUCCCUCUGAGGAGGAAGGAGCGGCAGAGACAAGGUCACCAAGGUCAGAGAAGGAGUGGGAGGAGGUGCUCCAGGUGCUGGAGCAGAGAUUCCCCUGCAGCCUGUGGAAAAGACCAUGGUGAAGCAGGUUGUCCCCUGCAGCCCAUGGAGGACCACAUCAGAGCAGGUAUCCACCUGCAGCCCAUGGAGGACCCCACACCACAGCAGGCAGAUAUGCCCUGAAGGAAGCUGCAGCCCAUGGAGAGCCCGCACUGGAGCAGGCUCCUGGCAGGAACUGUGGCCUGUGGAAAGGAGCCCACGUUGGAGCAGGUUUUCUGGCAGGACUUGUGACCCUGUGGGGGACCCACGCUGGAGCAGUCUGUUCCUGAAGAACUGUAUCCCUUGGAAAAGGGCCCAUGCUGGAGCAGUUUGUGAAGGACUGUGUCCCAUGGGAGAGACCCCAUGCUGGAGGAGGGGAACAGCGUGAGGAAGAAGGAGUGGCAGAGACGAAGUGUUAUGAUCUGACCGCAACCCUCAUUCCCCAUCCCCCUGCACCACUUGAAGUGGGGGGAGGAGAUAGAGAAGUUGGGAGUGAAGGUGAGCCCAGGAAGAAGGGAGGGGUG